GUGGGGAAUAUUGGACAAUGGGCGCAAGCCUGAUCCAGCCAUGCCGCGUGAGUGAUGAAGGCCUUAGGGUUGUAAAGCUCUUUCAGUGGGGACGAUAAUGACGGUACCCACAGAAGAAGCCCCGGCUAACUUCGUGCCAGCAGCCGCGGUAAUACGAAGGGGGCUAGCGUUGUUCGGAUUUACUGGGCGUAAAGCGCACGUAGGCGGAUCGUUAAGUCGGGGGUAAAAUCCUGGAGCUCAACUCCAGAACUGCCUUCGAUACUGGCGAUCUUGAGUCCGGAAGAGGUGAGUGGAACUCCUAGUGUAGAGGUGGAAUUCGUAGAUAUUAGGAAGAACACCAGUGGCGAAGGCGGCUCACUGGUCCGGUACUGACGCUGAGGUGCGAAAGCGUGGGGAGCAAACAGGAUUAGAAACCCGUGUAGUCC
rnacentral:rRNA from 1 species